UGUGUUUUACGGAUGUUACGGAUUGAAAAUUGAUGUCUUGUUGUGAAAAUUUGUGGUGAUUGUGUUUUUAAUUGUGAUUUUACCAUUGAGAGACUCUGGUUAGAAGUUCGUCGAAAUGUUCCCAAGGCUGGAUUCAGGCAAGAGCAUCUUUGGGGUUAUCUAUCUGAUGUUCUGUUUCGUCGGAUGGAACCUUGCUACGGUCGUCGAAGGCACAUGUUCUGGAAGGCGGCCGCAACUCUGUACUCUCCAGAGCAUCCUCUGGCAUAAGGUGAA